AUGAAGACACUGUGUGGACCUUUUGUCCUGUGCUUGUGGCUGCAGCUGAACUGUGUGAGCAGAGCAGAGCAGCUGGAACAGCAGCCUUCUCUCCUGAGUGUCCAGGAGGGAAGCAGCGCCCUUAUCACCUGCACCUACACAGCCACUGUUCCUUCCUUCUUCUCCUGGUACAAGCAAGUGCCUGGGGCAGGUCUCCAGUUCCUUUUAAAUAUUUUUUCAAAUGUGGACAGGAAAGAAGAACAAGGACUCACUGUCCUGCUGAAUAAGGAGGACAAACGUCUCUCCCUGAACAUCACAGCUGCCCAUCCUGGAGACUCAGCCACAUACUUCUGUGCAGCAAGUGCACAGUGCUCCCCAGGCACCUGUUGCCUGCACACAAACCUGUGA